AUUGAACGCUGGCGGCAUGCUUUACACAUGCAAGUCGAACGGUAACAGGCCUUCGGGUGCUGACGAGUGGCGUACGGGUGAGUAAUGCAUCGGAACGUACCCAGAGGUGGGGGAUAACGCAGCGAAAGCUGUGCUAAUACCGCAUGUGAUCUGAGGAUGAAAGCGGGGGACCGAGCAGCAAUGUUUGGCCUCGCGCCUUUGGAGCGGCCGAUGUCGGAUUAGCUAGUUGGUGGGGUAAAGGCCUACCAAGGCGACGAUCCGUAGCUGGUCUGAGAGGACGACCAGCCACACUGGGACUGAGACACGGCCCAGACUCCUACGGGAGGCAGCAGUGGGGAAUUUUGGACAAUGGGCGCAAGCCUGAUCCAGCAAUGCCGCGUGCGGGAAGAAGGCCUUCGGGUUGUAAACCGCUUUUGGCAGGAACGAAACGGUGUCCGCUAAUACCGGGCGCUAAUGACGGUACCUGCAGAAUAAGCACCGGCUAACUACGUG
rnacentral:rRNA from 1 species